GACGCGGUGGCCUAAUGGUUAGCGCGUUGGACUCCGGAUCGAGCGUUCUGGGUUCGAGCGCAAGCCGGGGUCA